rnacentral:misc_RNA from 1 species
AAUAUAUAUACGCAGAGAUGCCAUUAUACCAAAGACUUUCAAAGUUUUUUCUUUUAUUUUGUAUGAAUUUGUUAAGAAAAUUUCCUUUAGAAGUUCUGUAUCAGAUUCAUUUUCCCUGAGAGUAAGUUUUCAGUUUACUCUGGAUUGAAAUCUACAAUGCCUGACAUUUUUAGUGUUUUUUUGUAUAAUCAUUGAAUCCUAUGGAACAUUGAGCUCAAGCAUGACUUUAUGAGCUUCUUAGUUUUGUGCUGGAGCUAAAAGUAGAAGGUUGUAUACAAAUUUCAAGCAGAUUUUCUGUUUUCCUUGAAAA